CGGGCAGGUGGAGGUCGUUAGCGAAAGCAGUUCAUCUAGGAGAGCAAACUCCGAUUACAAAACCGGGCAGGUGGAGGUCGUUAGCGUGAGCAGUUCACCUAGGAGAGCAAACUCCGAUUACAAACCCGGGCAGGUGGAGGUCGUUAGCGUGAGCAGUUCACCUAGGAGAGCAAACUCCGAUUACAAACCCGGGCAGGUGGAGGUCGUUAGCGAAAGCAGUUCACCUAGGAGAGCAAACUCCGAUUAUAAACCCGGGCAGGUGAGGUUCGUUAGCCGUGGUAGGCAAUUCACCUAGGAGAGCAAACUCCGAACAAUAAACCCGGGCAGGUGAGGUUCGUUAGCCGUGGUAGGCAAUUCACCUAGGAGAGCAAACUCCGAACAAUAAACCCGGGCAGGUUGGGCUCGUGAGCCGUCAUAGGUAAUACACCUAGGAGAGCAAACUCCGAACAAUAAACCCGGGCAGGUUGGGCUCGUGAGCCGUCAUAGGUAAUACACCUAGGAGAGCAAACUCCGAACAAUAAACCCGGGCAGGUUGGGCUCGUGAGCCGUCAUAGGUAAUACACCUAGGAGAGCAAACUCCGAUCAUAAAACCCGGGCAGGUUGGGCUCGUGAGCCGUCAUAGGUAAUACACCUAGGAGAGCAAACUCCAUACAUAAAACCCGGGCAGGUGGAGCUCGUCAGCCGUGGUAGGCAAUCUGCCUAGGAGAGUAAACUCCGAACAAUAAACCCGGGCAGGUGUAGCUCGUCAGCCGUGGUAGGCAGUCUGCCUAGGAGAGCAAACUCCGAACAAUAAACCGGGGCUUGUGGUGCUCGUUAGAUGUCGUAGACAAUCCACGUGAUGGGAACACCAAAGAAAAGGAAAAUAAAAAGGAACACCAGAAAAAGGAAAAUAUAGUAACAAAAAAUCAAGAAAAGAAAAGAAAAAACACAGAUCAUCCACCUUCAGGCCCUAACAUCACCAAAAUUAUGGGUGAGUCUUUUCUGGGGAGAAAGAGGCUCAUUCAGACCAAAGAACAUCAAAAAGGGAUGAUAUAGAAAGGAACACCAAAAAAAUGGGAAAAAGAAAAAACAUCGCAAAAGAAAAGUAACAACAAUAACAACAACGUCAAGAAAAGUAACAUACAAAGAAACAUCAUCCACCAUUCGGCCCCAAACUAACAUCACCAAAAUUAUGGGUGGGUCUCUUCUGGGAGGAAAGCGGCUCACCCAGACCAACGAAGAACAUCAACAAGAGGAUGAUAUGAAAUAAAAGAACAUUAAAAAACACGAAGAAAAGAAAUAAGAAGAAAAGGAACAGAAAAAAAAUAUCGGAAAAGAAAAACAAGAAGAAAAACAUCAAGAGAAGAAAAAUAUAAGAAACAUCAUCCACCUUUCGGCCCCUAACUAACAUCACCAAAAUUAUGGGUGGGUCUCUUCUGGGAGGAAAGCGGCUCACCCAGGCCAACGAACAUCAACAAGAGGAUGAUAUGAAAUAAAAGAACAUCAAAAAAGAAAAACAACAGCAAGAAAACAAAGAAAAAGAUAAAGAAAAGAAAAGGAAAAAGAAACAAAAUGAAAAAGAAAAACACCAAAAUAAAAUAAAAAAACAAAAAAAUAAUCCAAAUAAAUAAAUAAAUAAACAA